AUGUGCUGUGUCUCCAAGCUUAUAGCCAUAGAGGAUACAGAACCCGUCAGGGGUGACAAAAGAGAAAGGCACAUGGUGAAAUUGGGCUGGCAAAUAUACAUUGCCCAGGACCCCAAAACCAAAUUGGAAUGUGUAUACUCGUGCCACAUGUUGGUGGACAGGAAAGCAGCUCCUGGAGAGGGAAGAGUGAAGGAGGUUUUUGUACGGCGAAUUCACCAGAAUGAAUCACCGUGGUGGACAUUUGGAAGAGGCACAAAACUGGUGCUGAAAACUGGUCCCUCUGUCAGGCCCACAGUGUCUCUGCUCCCCCCGUCCUCUGAGCAGCUCUCUGGGAGCUCGGCUACUCUGGCCUGCCUGCUGAGUGGCUACUCCCCCCAGGGGGCGAUGGUGAGCUGGGAGGUGGACGGAGCGGAGGUGAAGGAGGGGAUCCUGACCACCACAGAAGAAGAGAAGGGCGGCCGCUACAGCCGCAGCAGCACCCUGACCCUGAGCAAGGCACGCUGGGAAGAGGGGGAGGUGUACACCUGCAGGGUCGCCCAUGAUGACACCAGUGAUGCGGCCGCCUUCCGUAAAAGUCAGUGUAGCAUCUAGAGACAGGAGAAGCCAUUGUAGGGGUCUAGAGAGUCCCCACAUGGUGCUAGUUCUGGAAACAUUACUGUUUUACAGCUGAAUGUUACAGCAUAAAAGUGAAUAGUAUCAGUAGUGCUGUGUGCUAAAUUAACUCUUUUUAGACUCAGUUGUUCAUGUCUUCUUGCCUUUGAAUUAAAAUAAAGCUGGUUUUGAUUGAAAACUAAC